UCCGCCGGGGCCCGCCACCGCCACUGCAGCGCUGCUCGGGGCCGGGGCUGCCCUCACGGAACCCUCCCUUCAGCGCGGUGUCGCUCCGGACAUCAGGCUGGCGACAGGGGCGGACGCAGCGGGUUGCUCCCCUGUGGGACUCCUGGUUGUGCUCCAUGCAUCACAUCCCUGCCUCACUGAUUCUGCACUGACCCAGAGGCACAGCCUCCCUGGGAAGGGUUUUCCUGGCUCCUCACCCUGUUUUCUGGAGAGGAAGGAAGCGAGUGGAAGGGAACACCAAGAUGAGAUGGCUCUCUAGCCUUCUUCUCUUACUGAUGCUUUGACUUGAGGGUGCUCCUCUGCAAUCUACCAAGGUGCACAAUUUGCAAAAUUACCUACUGCCUCCAAUCCCAGCCUUGUCCCAUCCAUGGGAUUCUCCGUCCUGUUCUGUCUGGGGCCUUAUCUGAUACUGGCAGGACCAUUCCCUGGUGUGUUCAGUUAUGAAGCUGCUCCAGGAUAUUAAAACUUCUACACUGCGAAGUUUUGAGCUGUCAGAGGAGCACAUUCCAGUGGUUCCACCAUGAAGUGACUGCAACAGAAGCCAAGAAAUCCUGCAGGUCAGCUGCCCAUGCUCAGCUGAGAAGAAACCAACACAGAGUUCAGCAGCACUGGCAGCUUUGCUCCAUGCACCCCUGUAAACUUGCUAAAGAAACCUUUCCAGAGCCUUCACCACAGCUGCAAAGCACAAACCCCACAACUGUGCUCUGCCAGAGGAAGAAAGUAAGAAUAUCCUAAGGGAAAAUUCACAGAGGAUCCUAGGAAGUGCUUACUUUCACCUCAGUUUGCACAUGUGUCUAGUAACAAAAUGACAGGAUCUUUGUGGUAUUUGCAGAAGUCCAUGAGCCUUAACCCCAACCUUCUGAAGAAAGAACCAGACCCAGAGAAAAGUUCCUGCAAUUAAAAGAAACCAGGUGGCAACCUCUGGAAGAAGAAUGUUGAGACUCAAACUUGGCCUUCCAGCCUGGAUGUCCAUCAGGCCUUGAUAACCAAAAUGCACCAGGAAGAUGUGCAAUAACUUCAUUGCCAUAUGCCAGAGAUCAAUGGACAAAAUACCCUGCAAGGGCCUGAGGAGGCUCCCUGCUUGCCUAAUAUCCAUGAAUCCAAAUGGCAAAGAGAACAUGGCCAAUGCCACUUAAUCCCAGUGUGAGCAAAGGCUGUCCUUGUACCCAAGAAACAACUGAGACAGGACCGAGACCUCCAGGGAUCUCUGCAGGAGCAAAGCCUCCUCUGUGGAAGAUUAAAGCUUGGUGCAAGCUCGAAGGUCACCUCUGUAUAAGCAGUGGGAAAGGAACAGCACAAAGCUUGGGAUCACCUGAGCUUGCUGGCAUCCAGCUGCUUAGCAGUGUUGAGGUUUAUUGCACUGGAGAUUCCACAAAGGGUUUUCAUCCAUCAGAGCUCUGGGUUCUGCAGAGUCUGGUGGAUAUCCUUAAACAUUUUGGAGUGGCUGUUUUGAGGGUAGCUGGAAAAACAUGAGCCAGCAAGACAUUGUAGAAAGAUGAAUUCACAAGCAGAAAAUUUUAGAGAGAGUAUUUGAUAAUGAAAGAGUGAUUCCACCAACUUGCACCAUUGAUUUAUUUAAAUUUAUGCUAUAAAAUGGACAGCAGAGGAAAGUCAAAACUUGUACUGAUUAUUUUUCUUUCUCUUCCCCCCCUGUCCCUGAUCUUUUAUUUAUUAAACUGCUCUGGGUGCACCUUUCAAAUGA